AUACGUAGGUGGCAAGCGUUGUCCGGAAUUAUUGGGCGUAAAGCGCAUGUAGGCGGUUUGGUAAGUCGGUCGUGAAAAUGCGGUGCUUAACGCCGUAUGGCGAUUGAAACUGCUGAACUUGAGUGCAGGAGAGGAAAGGGGAACUCCCAGUGUAGCGGUGCAAUGCGUAGAUAUUGGGAAGAACACCGGUGGCGAAGGCGCCUUUCUGGACUGUGUCUGACGCUCAGAUGCGAAAGCCAGGGUAGCGAACGGGAUUAGAUACCCCGGUAGUCCUGGCCGUAAACGAUGGGUACUAGGUGUGGGAGGUAUCGACUCCUUCCGUGCCGGAGUUAACGCAAUAAGUACCCCGCCUGGGGAGUACGGCCGCAAGGCUUAAACUCAAAGGAAUUGACGGGG
rnacentral:rRNA from 1 species